GCACUUUGGGAUAAGCCUGGGAAACUGGGUCUAAUACCGAAUAUGACCACAUGCUUCAUGGUGUGUGGUGGAAAGCUUUUGCGGUGUGGGAUGGGCCCGCGGCCUAUCAGCUUGUUAGUGGGGUAAUGGCCUACCAAGGCGACGACGGGUAGCCGGCCUGAGAGGGUGACCGGCCACACUGGGACUGAGAUACGGCCCAGACUCCUACGGGAGGCAGCAGUGGGGAAUAUUGCACAAUGGGCGCAAGCCUGAUGCAGCGACGCCGCGUGAGGGAUGACGGCCUUCGGGUUGUAAACCUCUUUCAAUAGGGACGAAGCGCAAGUGACGGUACCUAUAGAAGAAGGACCGGCCAACUACGUGCCAGCAGCCGCGGUAAUACGUAGGGUCCGAGCGUUGUCCGGAAUUACUGGGCGUAAAGAGCUCGUAGGUGGUUUGUCGCGUUGUUCGUGAAAACUCACAGCUUAACUGUGGGCGUGCGGGCGAUACGGGCAGACUAGAGUACUGCAGGGGAGACUGGAAUUCCUGGUGUAGCGGUGGAAUGCGCAGAUAUCAGGAGGAACACCGGUGGCGAAGGCGGGUCUCUGGGCAGUAACUGACGCUGAGGAGCGAAAGCGUGGGGAGCGAACAGGAUUAGAUACCCUGGUAGUCCACGCCGUAAACGGUGGGUACUAGGUGUGGGUUCCUUCCUUGGGAUCCGUGCCGUAGCUAACGCAUUAAGUACCCCGCCUGGGGAGUACGGCCGCAAGGCUAAAACUCAAAGAAAUUGACGGGGGCCCGCACAAGCGGCGGAGCAUGUGGAUUAAUUCGAUGCAACGCGAAGAACCUUACCUGGGUUUGACAUGCACAGGACGCUGGUAGAGAUAUCAGUUCCCUUGUGGCCUGUGUGCAGGUGGUGCAUGGCUGUCGUCAGCUCGUGUCGUGAGAUGUUGGGUUAAGUCCCGCAACGAGCGCAACCCCUAUCUUAUGUUGCCAGCGCGUUAUGGCGGGGACUCGUAAGAGACUGCCGGGGUCAACUCGGAGGAAGGUGGGGAUGACGUCAAGUCAUCAUGCCCCUUAUGUCCAGGGCUUCACACAUGCUACAAUGGCCGGUACAAAGGGCUGCGAAUCCGCGAGGUGGAGCGAAUCCCUUGAAAGCCGGUCUCAGUUCGGAUCGGGGUCUGCAACUCGACCCCGUGAAGUUGGAGUCGCUAGUAAUCGCAGAUCAGCAACGCUGCGGUGAAUACGUUCCCGGGCCUUGUACACACCGCCCGUCACGUCAUGAAAGUCGGUAACACCCGAAGCCGGUGGCCUAACC
rnacentral:rRNA from 1 species